rnacentral:lncRNA from 1 species
GGGAGGCCCUCGACACUCUGUUCCUUCCGACCCAAACCCAGGAUUGAUGUCAUCUGCGACAGGCUCGGCACCCCCGCUUCAGGACCCACCUUACCCUUUACUGUUCAGAAUGUUUUACGCUGGCCAUCGCAUUCCCGAGCUGCCACAUUCCCUGUUCUGCUCCGCUCUGCUUCUGACCCAUCUGUUGGCGCUUCUUUGCCUGGAGCUGCAACCUGGGGUUGCCUGUCACCCACAUUCUGCCUUCACUGCCUCGCCCUGUGCCAAUGACUUCAGGGCGCCUGGCUGGUCACGCAGUCCAGGCCCGCCCUGCCACACUUUCCCACACAGCGUCCACCUAGAUCCCUGCAGCCACCGUCCUGGGCCUACCGCCAGGCAGUGCGCCCUCCAGUACCCGUGGCCCGUCCGCUCUGAUGCCCUCCUCCUGCAGAUGCCAGACGUGUCCCACUCUGUAGGUGCUGCUGACCCUUCUGUCUGUUCAAACGUCUCCCACAUGCUGUUGCUCCCAGCACAGGUGAAGAGGCAGAUCCUCAUUGUGGGCUUUAAAUUGGUACCAAGACUUUGGGACGGCAACUCUGCUUUCAGGGCCUUUCAGGGCCAGUGACAUGGGAGAAGGUUCACCCCAUGCCUGCCACAGCCGCCCCUCCCACCCCUACCCCUGUCCAAGUCCAUUCUCCCCGUACCAAAAUCCAGACUGCAAUCCUCCGGACACGCAAAUGCGGUCCAUCCUCCGGCUCACACCAUCUCUGCCUUCUCCCCGCAGAAGAGUGGCCCAGCUCCCAGCCUCAGCCUCAGGCCCCCACCAUCUGCCACUGGCAGCUCCCAGACGCCCCCUCUGCUGGCUUCUCUCGCUUACCACCAGCGUCCUGCCUUCCUUGUGUUUCCAAGUUCAGCAAACACACUUCCGGCUCAAGGCUUUGGAACUUGUUCCCUCCACCUGGGCUGCUCUGCUUCUCUCCGUUACUUCAGUGUGAUCUCUCCCUGAAGGGCCCUGAGCAGAGGCCUCCCAGCUUCGAGCGCAGCCUCCCCUGUUGCCCCAGGCCUCACUACUUCUUGCACACGACACACUCCCUUGUCCACUGGCCUGGGGGAAAGCGGCUGGGCAGCUGCGGGCAUCUCCGGCCUCUCAGGUGGGAUCAGCGUAUGUCGAGUGGGGCUUUUACCAAAGGGAAGACCGUGAGAAGAUGUCAGAUGCUAGUCACUCUGCAGCAGUAGAAACUUUGGAAGGGUUUGGCCCUUCAUCACCUGUAGGGACUGGGAUGUGGUGAGGUUUAAGCCAAACUCAUCUAGAUUUGGGGGCAGGUAGGCCCUACUCGGCGUGUGGGCUGAAUAGAAAGCAGAUCAACAGGAGCUGACGGGGUGGAGGCUGAUGUCCACCGCCUUCUCCCUCUUUCUCCUGGCUCCUCAGUCACUUCCUCAGAGGAAACCCCAGAGGCACGUGCAGUGGCUGGAUGGUGGCCUUCCUCAUCCCUGGGAGGACAGG